rnacentral:tRNA from 1 species
CGGCCCGUAGCUCAGUUGGUUAGAGCGGGGCUCUUAUAAAGCUCAGGUCGUGGGUUCAAGUCCCACCGGGCCGACCA